UACGGGGGGGGGCAAGCGUUGUUCGGAAUUACUGGGCGUAAAGGGCUCGUAGGUGGCCAACUAAGUCAGACGUGAAAUCCCUCGGCUUAACCGGGGAACUGCGUCUGAUACUGGAUGGCUUGAGUUCGGGAGAGGGAUGCGGAAUUCCAGGUGUAGCGGUGAAAUGCGUAGAUAUCUGGAGGAACACCGGUGGCGAAGGCGGCAUCCUGGACCGACACUGACACUGAGGAGCGAAAGCCAGGGAGCAAAGCGGG
rnacentral:rRNA from 1 species